CAGUCGCCGCGGUAAUACGUAGGUGGCAAGCGUUGUCCGGAAUUAUUGGGCGUAAAGGGCUUGCAGGCGGUUUCUUAAGUCUGAUGUGAAAGCCCCCGGCUCAACCGGGGAGGGUCAUUGGAAACUGGGAAACUUGAGUGCAGAAGAGGAGAGUGGAAUUCCACGUGUAGCGGUGAAAUGCGUAGAGAUGUGGAGGAACACCAGUGGCGAAGGCGACUCUCUGGUCUGUAACUGACGCUGAGGAGCGAAAGCGUGGGGAGCGAACAGGAUUAGAUACCCCCGUAGUCCCUGUCUCUUAUAC
rnacentral:rRNA from 1 species